rnacentral:lncRNA from 1 species
UCCUUGGGGAGCGCCAGCCCGGGAGCGGAGACCGCGACCGGGGCGGGUGUGAGACCAAUGAGUUCGUGCACAUGUAUUCUUUCUUUUUUUGGGGGAAGUAUCGCCGAGUCGGACGGAGUGGUUUAUUCCACAGGUUUGACCAGAGGCAAAUCCUGGCUCGUCUGCCGAAGUGAGGAGCUGGGGAGAUGAGUAUAUGAAGGAUUGAGUGCUCGGCCACUUAGCUGCUAGUCCCCUUAUUAGAGAACUGAAGAGUUAGUAGGAAGGUGACUCAAACGCAUCGUCUCAGGAUGGGCAUGGUUUCAUUCCGGAUUAGAAAUCAUGAAAGCUAGGAGAUAAUUCUUGUCACCGUGUCAACCAUUAGCGAGGAGCUCACGGGAAGUCUAAGUCUUUACAAAUUGCCUAGUCCUCUUGACUGGCUGGAGAAGUUUCACCUGAAUUCUGUAGCCUCAGCGGAAUCAUCAUCGAACCACCUGAGAGAGA